AGAAUUGAUCUGGUCAGGAUGAACGCUAGCGACAGGCUAACACAUGCAAGUCGAGGGGCAGCAUAAAAGUAGCAAUACUUGGUGGCGACCGGCGCACGGGUGAGUAACGCGUAUGCAACCUACCUAUCAGAGGGGAAUAACCGGCGAAAGUCGGACUAAUACCGCAUAAAACAGGGGCACCGCAUGGUGAUAUUUGUUAAAGAGAUUCGCUGAUAGAUGGGCAUGCGUUCCAUUAGGUAGUUGGUGAGGUAACGGCUCACCAAGCCGACGAUGGAUAGGGGAACUGAGAGGUUGGUCCCCCACACUGGUACUGAGACACGGACCAGACUCCUACGGGAGGCAGCAGUGAGGAAUAUUGGUCAAUGGGCGGGAGCCUGAACCAGCCAAGUCCGCGUGAAGGAAGAAGGAUCUAUGGUUCGUAAACUUCUUUUGCAGGGGAAUAAAGUGCAGGACGUGUCCUGUUUUGUAUGUACCCUGAGAAUAAGGAUCGGCUAACUCCGUGCCAGCCGCCGC
rnacentral:rRNA from 1 species